UGCAUAUCAAUAAGCGGAGGAAAAGAAACUAACAAGGAUUCCCCUAGUAACGGCGAGUGAAGCGGGAAGUGCUCAAAUUUGAAAUCUGGUAGCCUUCGGUUGCCCGAGUUGUAAUCUAGAGAAGUGUUUUCCGUGCCGGCCCAUGUACAAGUCCCUUGGAACAGGGCGUCAUAGAGGGUGAGAAUCCCGUCCUUGACAUGGACCCCCGGUGCUUUGUGAUACACUUUCAACGAGUCGAGUUGUUUGGGAAUGCAGCUCAAAAUGGGUGGUGAAUUCCAUCUAAAGCUAAAUAUUGGCGAGAGACCGAUAGCGAACAAGUACCGUGAGGGAAAGAUGAAAAGCACUUUGGAAAGAGAGUUAAACAGUACGUGAAAUUGUUGAAAGGGAAACGAUUGAAGUCAGUCAUGCUCUUAGGAUUCAGCCGUUCUGCGGUGUAUUUCCUUUGAGUGGGGUCAACAUCAGUUUUGAUCGAUGGAUAAAGGCACGAGGAAGGUAGCACUCUCGGGUGAACUUAUAGCCUCGCGUCAUAUACAUUGAUUGGGACUGAGGAACGCAGCACGCCUUUAUGGCCGGGAUUCGUCCACGUACAUGCAUAGGAGUGACCAUAAGCCA
rnacentral:rRNA from 1 species